rnacentral:rRNA from 1 species
UACGUAGGGUGCGAGCGUUAAUCGGAAUUACUGGGCGUAAAGGGUGCGCAGGCGGUCCUGCAAGUCAGGCGUGAAAUCCCUGGGCUUAACCUGGGAAUGGCACUUGAAACUACGGGACUGGAGUAUGGCAGAGGGAGGUGGAAUUCCACGUGUAGCGGUGAAAUGCGUAGAGAUGUGGAGGAACACCGAUGGCGAAGGCAGCCUCCUGGGCCAAUACUGACGCUCAUGCACGAAAGCGUGGGGAGCAAACAGG